rnacentral:rRNA from 1 species
UCCGUAGGCGGGUAAUUAAGUCAGAGGUGAAAUCCCACAGCUUAACUGUGGAACUGCCGUAGAUACUGGUUAUCUUGAGUUUUAGUGAAGUAGAUAGAAUGUGUAGUGUAGCGGUGAAAUGCAUAGAUAUUACACAGAAUACCGAUUGCGAAGGCAGUCUACUAACUAACAACUGACGCUAAUGGACGAAAGCGUGGGGAGCGAACAGGAUUAGAUACCCUGGUAGUCC